CAGCCGCCGCGGGAAUACGAAGGGGGCUAGCGUUGUUCGGAUUUACUGGGCGUAAAGGGCGCGUAGGCGGACUGAUAAGUCAGGGGUGAAAUCCCAAGGCUCAACCUUGGAACUGCCUUUGAUACUGUUUGUCUUGAGUUCGAGAGAGGUAAGUGGAACUGCGAGUGUAGAGGUGAAAUUCGUAGAUAUUCGCAAGAACACCAGUGGCGAAGGCGGCUUACUGGCUCGAAACUGACGCUGAGGCGCGAAAGCGUGGGGAGCAAACAGGAUUAGAUACCCCAGUAGUCCCUGUCUCUUAUAC
rnacentral:rRNA from 1 species